AUCGCUUCUCGGCCUUUUGGCUAAGAUCAAGUGUAGUAUUGUUAUAAGUCAAAAUUUAGAAGAGUAAAUCACAUUCAAGCAAAAAGAAGCAAAAAUAGAUCUUGCUUCAUAGAUCUACACAAA
ensembl:snRNA U2 U2 spliceosomal RNA